rnacentral:rRNA from 1 species
GACGAACGCUGGCGGCGUGCUUAACACAUGCAAGUCGAACGGAAAGGCCCUGCUUUUGUGGGGUGCUCGAGUGGCGAACGGGUGAGUAACACGUGAGUAACCUGCCCUUGACUUUGGGAUAACUUCAGGAAACUGGGGCUAAUACCGGAUAGGAGCUCCUGCUGCAUGGUGGGGGUUGGAAAGUUUCGGCGGUUGGGGAUGGACUCGCGGCUUAUCAGCUUGCUGGUGGGGUAGUGGCUUACCAAGGCUUUGACGGGUAGCCGGCCUGAGAGGGUGACCGGCCACAUUGGGACUGCGGUACGGCCCAGACUCCUACGGGAGGCAGCAGGGGGGAAUAUUGCACAAUGGGCGGAAGCCUGAUGCAGCAACGCCGCGUGCGGGAUGACGGCCUUCGGGUUGUAAACCGCUUUCGCCUGUGACGAAGCGUGAGUGACGGUAAUGGGUAAAGAAGCACCGGCUAACUACGUG